rnacentral:rRNA from 1 species
UGGGGAAUAUUGCACAAUGGACGGAAGUCUGAUGCAGCAACGCCGCGUGCGGGAUGACGGCCUUCGGGUUGUAAACCGCUUUUUCUCAUGACGAAGUUUUUUGACGGUAGUGGGGGAAGAAGCACCGGCUAACUACGUGCCAGCAGCCGCGGUGAUACGUAGGGUGCGAGCGUUGUCCGGAAUUAUUGGGCGUAAAGAGCUUGUAGGCGGUUUGUCGCGUCGAUAGUGCAAACUCAGUGCUUAACGCUGAGCCUGCUGUUGAUACGGGCAGACUAGAGGAAGGUAAGGGAGAAUGGAAUUCCCGGUGGGGCGGUGAAAUGCGCAGAUAUCGGGAGGAACACCGGUGGCGAAGGCGGUUCUCUGGGCCUUUCCUGACGCUGAGAAGCGAAAGCGUGGGGAGCGAACAGG